AAUGGUUAGUGGCAGACGGGUGAGUAUGCGUAGGAUCUACCUAGUAGUACGGAAUAGCCAUUAGAAAUGGUCGGGUAAUACUGUAUAAUCCCCGAGGGGGAAAGAUUUAUCGCUAUUAGAUGAGCCUACGUUAGAUUAGCUAGUUGGUGAGGUAAUGGCUUACCAAGGCUAUGAUCUAUAGCUGGUCUGAGAGGACGAUCAGCCACACUGGAACUGAGAUACGGUCCAGACUCCUACGGGAGGCAGCAGUGGGGAAUAUUGGACAAUGGGCGAAAGCCUGAUCCAGCUAUGCCGCGUGAGUGAAGAAGGCCUUCGGGUUGUAAAACUCUUUCAAUAGGGAAGAUAAUGAGGUACCUAUAAUCUCGCGAUGGCAGUCUAUUGCACAUGAACCUACAAAGUUACUAAAUUUUGACCAAUUCCCAAUGCUGUUUAAAUCUUUUAAAAACCUCCGAAUUGUUCAACUUAUUAGUCUCUAGUACGGGGGGGGGGGGGGGGAGGUAAACCACCCCCCCCGCAGGUUUUGGGUUUAAAAAACUAUAAAGAUUUUUAAAAUUUGGACAAUUAUAAAUUUUCAAAAUUUUAAAAUUUUAAAUUUUUAACACUCAUAAUACCUUUUACCCUUUUUCUAAUUUUGCUAUAUUUGUCUUUUUAACUACCUUCUUUUCCCUUUUAAUUUUUUAAUUUUGCUCUAUAUUUUUUUUCCCUUUAACAACAUUUUUUUCAAAUUUUUUUUACACAAAAUUUUUAAAUUGAAAAAACAAAUUUUUUAAC
rnacentral:rRNA from 1 species